rnacentral:rRNA from 1 species
GAUGAACGCUGGCGGCGUGCCUAAUACAUGCAAGUCGAGCGAACGGACGCGAAGCUUGCUUCUCUGAUGUUAGCGGCAGACGGGUGAGUCACACGUGGAUACCCUCCUCAUAAGUCUGGGAUCACCUCGGGAAACCGGAGCUAAUCCCGGAUGAUCUUUUGCACCGCAUGGUUCAAUAGUGAGAUACGGUCUUGCUGGCUCUUAUAGCUGGAUACCGGCUGCAUUAGCUAGUUGGUAAGUUAAAGGCUUAUCAAGGCAACGAUGCGUAGCCGACCGGAGAGGGGGAUCGGCCACACUGGAACUGAGACACGGUCCAGACUCCUGCGGGAGGCAGCAGUAUGGAAUCUUCCGCAAUGGGCGAAAGCCUGACGGAGCAACGCCGCGUGAGUGAUGAAGGUCUUCGGAUCGUAAAACUCUGUUAUUAGGGAAGAACAUAUGUGUAAGUAACUGUGCACAUCUUGACGGUACCUAAUCAGAAAGCCACGGCUAACUACGUG